rnacentral:tRNA from 1 species
GCCCCUGUAGCACAGUGGUUAGGGCACCAGCCAAAUAUACUGGGCCUGGCGGGUUCAAAUCCAGCCAGGGCCA